rnacentral:tRNA from 1 species
UUUAUAAAGAAUAGUCUUUUUUUAGAAA